rnacentral:rRNA from 1 species
GUAGGUGGCAAGCGUUGUCCGGAAUUAUUGGGGCGUAAAGCGCGCGCAGGUGGUUCUUUAAGUCUGAUGUGAAAGCCCCCGGGCUCAACCGGGGAGGGUCAUUGGAAACUGGGGAACUUGAGUGCAGGAGAGGAAAGUGGAAUUCCACGUGUAGCGGUGAAAUGCGUAGAUAUGUGGAGGAACACCAGUGGCGAAGGCGACUUUCUGGCCUGUAACUGACACUGAGGCGCGAAAGCGUGGGGAGCAAACAGGAUUAGAUACCCUGGUAGUCCACGCCGUAAACGAUGAGUGCUAAGUGUUGGGGGGGUUUCCGCCCCUCAGUGCUGCAGCUAACGCAUUAAGCACUCCGCCUGGGGAGUACGGUCGCAAAGACUG